ACCUGGGUGGCUCAGCUGGUUGAGCAUCUGACUUCAGUUCAGGUCAUGAUCUCAUGGUUCAUGGGAUCCAGCCCCAGGUC
rnacentral:tRNA from 1 species